GUUCUCGUAGUUGAAUACAACGGUGGGUUUUCAAUCCACUAGUCCUGGUUAAAGUCCAGGUGAGAAUU
rnacentral:tRNA from 1 species